GCUGGGUGUGGUGGCCCACGCCUGUAAUCCCAGCGGCUCAGGGGGCUGAGGCAGGAGGAUCAAGAGUUUAAAGCCAGCCUCAGCAAUGGCAAGGUGCUAAGCAACUCAGUGAGACCUGGUCUCUA
rnacentral:sRNA from 1 species